rnacentral:rRNA from 2 species
GACGAACGCUGGCGGCGUGCCUAAUACAUGCAAGUCGAGCGAGUCUGCCUUGAAGAUCGGAGUGCUUGCACUCUGUGAAACAAGAUACAGGCUAGCGGCGGACGGGUGAGUAACACGUGGGUAACCUGCCCAAGAGAUCGGGAUAACACCUGGAAACAGAUGCUAAUACCGGAUAACAACAGAUGAUGCCUAUCAACUGUUUAAAAGAUGGUUCUGCUAUCACUCUUGGAUGGACCUGCGGUGCAUUAGCUAGUUGGUAGGGUAACGGCCUACCAAGGCGAUGAUGCAUAGCCGAGUUGAGAGACUGAUCGGCCACAUUGGGACUGAGACACGGCCCAA